AAUGUAAGCAAUAAUAUUGUAAUGACUAUGUAUGGUGUCAGGUGUGUACUUGACUUAUCGGGGUGAUCACUUAAUAAGGUAUAUAAAUAUCUAAUCACUAUUUUGUACACUUGAAAC